UGAGGAAUAUUGCGCAAUGGAGGAAACUCUGACGCAGCAACGCCGCGUGAGUGAAGAAGGCUUUCGGGUUGUAAAGCUCUGUCAGGUGGGAAGAAACCUCUAUAGUUAAAUAGGCUAUAGAACUGACGGUACCACCAAAGGAAGCACCGGCUAACUCCGUGCCAGCAGCCGCGGUAAGACGGAGGGUGCAAGCGUUGUUCGGAAUCACUGGGCGUAAAGCGCGUGUAGGCGGCUUGACAAGUCGAAUGUGAAAGCCCGGGGCUCAACCUCGGAAGUGCAUUCGAAACUGUCAGGCUUGAGUACGGGAGAGGGAAGUGGAAUUCCUGGUGUAGAGGUGAAAUUCGUAGAUAUCAGGAGGAACACCGGUGGCGAAGGCGGCUUCCUGGACCGAUACUGACGC
rnacentral:rRNA from 1 species